GAAGCUCUGACUUGUCUAGGCACUGCUCACCGGCUACCGCCUUUAGCUUUGUGGUCAUACUGUGCCUUUAGUACAAGGCACUCAGUGUUAUAAGUCUGGGCUGCCGGGAGAAUCUCCACCGCCUUGUUAUGGUUUGUUUCACUGGGACUUCCUGAGGGGGAAAGGGAAAGUGUCCCUUGGGACGUCUGCCGGAGGUUGUAACCUAGUCAGGCUUGGUCAGCUAACCAGGGAGCCUGGAGGACGAAUUCUUGGAAUCUGGACUGAGCCCAGCUGACCUUCACUUGUGCUGUUGGGGGUGGAAAGUGAGCUGGAGUGCAGAGUCUCAGUCACUCUGCAUUUCUGAGGCCCCGUCUAUGAAAUACCGGCCCCCGGGAGACAGACUGCAAGCCGUCCUGUGCGGUGAUUCUUAUAGGAUGGUUUUUUGGUGCCACCUGCUGGUUGAUUGGAGUCCUGGCGGCCAUCAGGCGGCCUAAGAACUGGGAUUACAGACACGUAUCACCACACCCAGCAUACAGUAUAUGCUUAAAACAGCCAAGUAAGAGCUGUCAAUUGGGUGGGAUGACUGUUGAUCUUAUGAUAAUGUGUAUGAUAAACACUUCACCUUAAAUCAUAAACAUUUACUGAGUUUAUGUACUGGUCGACCACAGUCAUAUGUAUCAACCAACUUUUCAUCCAGUACUAUAAAGAAAUGCCUCAGGCAGGCUCCAUAAUAAAGCAAAGUUUAUUUAGUUCAGGUUUUAAAUGUUGGAUGAGAGCUCCACUUGGCUGCAUCAUGUUAUGGAGGAGUAUGCAUUUCUGUGUGUACCCAGGUGACAGACCAGACCAGCUGAUCAUAACAGUUUAGGUACAUGUGUGCAGGUGUGUGCACACACAUAUGUCCCUGUGUGUGUAUACAUGUAGAAGUUAAAGGCCAGUGUUGGAUUUCUUGCUUGAUCACAUUCUGCCUUCUUUUUUUUGAAACAGGCCUCUCACUGUCCCCGAUGCUCACCAUGUCUGAAAGCCCCAGGUAUCCUCCUGUUUCCCCUUCCAGCUUGGACAUUACAGGGACUUCGUGGAUUUGGGCACAAUAGUGACUGUGACUCACAAGUACAGGAGGGGCCAGGGAGAUGGCUCAGCAGGUAAAGGUGCUUGCAGCUAAAGCCUGUGGACUGGAGUUUGGUCUACAGGAUCCACAAAGCGGAAAGAACUCACUUGGGCAGUUGUCCUCUGACAGUCAUAUAUGUGAAAUGUGGCAUGUACCCCUGUGAAUUUAAGAAAAUUAUGAUUUGGCAAAUUGUGUGUUUAUUGUUAAUUCCACUCUAAAAUUAUGGUAUUAACUGGUUAAUGUUUGUAACUGCUUUAGUUCACCAUAAGAUGUUAAAAAAGCUUGACAUUUCCUAUAAAUGCUUAGAUUUGACAUCUUUGCUAAGAAAUUUAAAAUUUGAUACAGCUAAAAAUUGUUUAAAAAACACUCUAGACCAAUUUAAAAGGGCAUUUCCAACCCUGGUGAUACUAAAUUCCUUUAAUUAAUAGAUUGCAGCCUUAGGAGCACGUAUUUUCACAAAACAUUAUCUAAUUACAAAUAAAUUCUCUUUCCAAAAAAAAUUGGCUCAGCGACACAGAGUCCAGAGGUACUUUCUCCCUUAACC